rnacentral:rRNA from 1 species
CCUACGGGUGGCAGCAGUGGGGGAUAUUGCACAAUGGAGGGAACCCUGAUGCAGCGACGCCGCGUGGGGGAAGAAGCGCCUCGGCGCGUAAAGCCCCUUCAGUAGGGAAGAAAAUGACGGUACCUGACGAAUAAGCCACGGCUAACUCCAGGCCAGCUGCCGCGGUAAUACGGAGGUGGCAAGCGUUGUCCGGAUUUACUGGGUGUAAAGGGCGUGUAGCCGGGUUGACAAGUCAGAUGUGAAAUCCUGCGGCUUAACCGCAGAACUGCAUUUGAAACUGUUGAUCUUGAGUACUGGAGAGGCAGACGGAAUUCCUGGUGUAGCGGUGAAAUGCGUAGAUAUUAGGCAGAACACCAGUGGCGAAGGCAGUCUGCUGGACAGCAACUGACGGUGAGGCGCGAAAGCGUGGGGAGCAAACAGGAUUAGAUACCCGUGUAGUC